GAUGAACGCUGGCGGCGUGCCUAAUACAUGCAAGUCGAGCGAACAGACGAGGAGCUUGCUCCUCUGACGUUAGCGGCGGACGGGUGAGUAACACGUGGAUAACCUACCUAUAAGACUGGGAUAACUUCGGGAAACCGGAGCUAAUACCGGAUAAUAUAUUGAACCGCAUUGUUCAAUAGUUAAAGACGGUUUUGCUGUCACUUAUAGAUUGAUCCGCGCCGUAUUAGCUAGUUGGUAAGGUAACGGCUUACCAAGGCGACGAUGCGUAGCCGACCUGAGAGGGUGAUCGGCCACACUGGAACUGAGACACGGUCCAGACUCCGACGGGAGGAAGCAGUAGGGAAUCUUCCGCAAUGGGCGAAAGCCUGACGGAGCAAAGCCGCGUGAGUGAUGAAGGUGUUAGGAUCGUAAAACUCUGUUAUUAGGGAAGAACAAAUGUGUAAGUAACUAUGCACGUAUUGACGGUACCUAAUCAGAAAGCCACGGCUAACUACGUG
rnacentral:rRNA from 1 species